AGAGUUUGAUCCUGGCUCAGAACGAACGCUGGCGGCGUGCCUAACACAUGCAAGUCGAGCGCGAAAGGUUCCUUCGGGGACCCGGUAGAGCGGCGAACGGGUGAGUAACGCGUGGGUAAUCUGCCCUUUGGUGGGGAAUAACCAUUGGAAACGGUGGCUAAUGCCGCAUCAGCUCUAGGACCCUUCGGUGUCCUUGAGGAAAGCAUGCCUCUGCUUCAAGCAUGCGCCAAAGGAGGAGCCCGCGUCCCAUUAGCUAGUUGGUGGGGUAAUGGCCUACCAAGGCGACGAUGGGUAGCCGGCCUGAGAGGGUGAUCGGCCACACUGGGACUGAGACACGGCCCAGACUCCUACGGGAGGCAGCAGUGGGGAAUUUUGCGCAAUGGGGGAAACCCUGACGCAGCGACGCCGCGUGCGGGAUGAAGGCCUUAGGGUCGUAAACCGCUGUCGUACGGGACGAACCCCCGGUGGAUGAAUAAGCCAUCGGGCUGACGGUACCGUGCAAGAAAGCCCCGGCUAACUCCGUGCCAGCAGCCGCGGUAAUACGGAGGGGGCUAGCGUUGUUCGGAAUCACUGGGCGUAAAGGGUCCGUAGGCGGCCAAGUAAGUCGGAGGUGAAAGCCCUAGGCUCAACCUAGGAAUUGCCCCCGAAACUGCUCGGCUAGAGUCCGGUAGAGGGAGACGGAAUUCCCGGUGUAGCGGU
rnacentral:rRNA from 1 species